rnacentral:rRNA from 1 species
AACGAACGCUGGCGGCAUGCCUAACACAUGCAAGUCGAACGAGACCUUCGGGUCUAGUGGCGCACGGGUGCGUAACGCGUGGGAAUCUGCCCUUGGGUUCGGAAUAACAGUUAGAAAUGACUGCUAAUACCGGAUAAUGUCUUCGGACCAAAGAUUUAUCGCCCAGGGAUGAGCCCGCGUAGGAUUAGCUAGUUGGUGAGGUAAAGGCUCACCAAGGCGACGAUCCUUAGCUGGUCUGAGAGGAUGAUCAGCCACACUGGGACUGAGACACGGCCCAGACUCCUACGGGAGGCAGCAGUGGGGAAUAUUGGACAAUGGGCGAAAGCCUGAUCCAGCAAUGCCGCGUGAGUGAUGAAGGCCUUAGGGUUGGUAAAGCUCUUUUACCCCGGGAUGAUAAUGACAGUACCGGGAGAAUAAGCCCCGGCUAACUCCGUGCCAGCAGCCGCGGUAAU